rnacentral:lncRNA from 1 species
UAAAGUUGGACCCCCCCUGUUUUGUCCUGGAUUUUAGACCUGGAUCCACCACUGAAUAUAAGUCGAUAAAAGUGAAUUAAAUGUUUAUGAAAAAAAUGGAUUUUGUCUAUAUUCAGCCAUAUACUUUGCAAGUGUUGAUCGGGAUUAAACACGUGUUACUAUAUGAUCCAAUCGCAGCUUACCGCCCAAAAUUGAUGACAUAAGUUGAAUGAUUUUCUUCUAGAUUUGCUGCUUAUUUGGACGUGUAUUACAUGAACACUUUUUGUUUAUAGGAUCAAUCGUGCAUUGGUGAGUUGAUAGGGAUUUUAUCUUUGAUAUUAGAUUUGAUUUAUUUUACUUAUUUCCUGUCUUAUUUUUUAUUGAAAAUAUACACGUCAGUAUCAUCCUUUCUUUACUUUAAGCAUUGUCCUAAAUACUAUUCAUGUCCAUAUAUUGAAGAAAACAUUUAUUGACCGAAUAUUUUGCUUCAUAAAGGGGGAAGUAUGUUCU